GGGUUGUGAGGUUAAGCGACUAAGCGUACACGGUGGAUGCCCUGGCAGUCAGAGGCGAUGAAGGACGUGCUAAUCUGCGAAAAGCGUCGGUAAGGUGAUAUGAACCGUUAUAACCGGCGAUGUCCGAAUGGGGAAACCCAGUGUGAUUCGUCACACUAUCGUUAACUGAAUACAUAGGUUAACGAGGCGAACCGGGGGAACUGAAACAUCUAAGUACCCCGAGGAAAAGAAAUCAACCGAGAUUCCCCAGUAGCGGCGAGCGAACGGGGAGCAGCCCAGAGUCUGAAUCAGCUUGUGUGUUAGUGGAACGGUCUGGAAAGUCCGACGGUACAGGGUGAUAGUCCCGUACACCAAAAUGCACAGGUUGUGAACUCGAAGAGUAGGGCGGGACACGUGGUAUCCUGUCUGAAUAUGGGGACCAUCCUCCAAGGCUAAAUACUCCUGACUGACCGAUAGUGAACCAGUACCGUGAGGGAAAGGCGAAAAGAACCCCGGCGAGGGGAGUGAAAAGAACCUGAAACCGUGUACGUACAAGCAGUGGGAGCACCUUCGGGUGUGACUGCGUACCUUUGUAUAAUGGGUCAGCGACUUAUAUUCUGUAGCAAGGUUAACCGUAUAGGGAGCCGCAGGGAAACCGAGUCUUAACUGGGCGUUAAGUUGCAGGGUAUAGACCCGAAACCCGGUGAUCUAGCCAUGGGCAGGUUGAAGGUUGGGUAACACUAACUGGAGGACCGAACCGACUAAUGUUGAAAAAUUAGCGGAUGACUUGUGGCUGGGGGUGAAAGGCCAAUCAAACCGGGAGAUAGCUGGUUCUCCCCGAAAGCUAUUUAGGUAGCGCCUCGUGAAUUCAUCUUCGGGGGUAGAGCACUGUUUCGGCUAGGGGGUCAUCCCGACUUACCAACCCGAUGCAAACUACGAAUACCGAAGAAUGUUAUCACGGGAGACACACGGCGGGUGCUAACGUCCGUCGUGAAGAGGGAAACAACCCAGACCGCCAGCUAAGGUCCCAAAGUCAUGGUUAAGUGGGAAACGAUGUGGGAAGGCACAGACAGCCAGGAUGUUGGCUUAGAAGCAGCCAUCAUUUAAAGAAAGCGUAAUAGCUCACUGGUCGAGUCGGCCUGCGCGGAAGAUGUAACGGGGCUAAACCAUGCACCGAAGCUGCGGCAGCGACACUAUGUGUUGUUGGGUAGGGGAGCGUUCUGUAAGCCUGCGAAGGUGACCUGUGAGGGUUGCUGGAGGUAUCAGAAGUGCGAAUGCUGACAUAAGUAACGAUAAAGCGGGUGAAAAGCCCGCUCGCCGGAAGACCAAGGGUUCCUGUCCAACGUUAAUCGGGGCAGGGUGAGUCGACCCUAAGGCGAGGCCGAAAGGCGUAGUCGAUGGGAAACAGGUUAAUAUUCCUGUACUUGGUGUUACUGCGAAGGGGACGGAGAAGGCUAUGUUAGCCGGGCGACGGUUGUCCCGGUUUAAGCAUGUAGGCUGGUUAUCGGCAAAUCCGGAUAAUCAAGGCUGAGGUGUGAUGACGAGGCACUACGGUGCUGAAGUAACAAAUGCCCUGCUUCCGAAAAGCCUCUAAGCAUCAGGUAACAUCAAAUCGUACCCCAAACCGACACAGGUGGUCAGGUAGAGAAUACCAAGGCGCUUGAGAGAACUCGGGUGAAGGAACUAGGCAAAAUGGUGCCGUAACUUCGGGAGAAGGCACGCUGGUGUGUAGGUGAAGUCCCUGCGGAUGGAGCUGAGACCAGUCGAAGAUACCAGCUGGCUGCAACUGUUUAUUAAAAACACAGCACUGUGCAAACACGAAAGUGGACGUAUACGGUGUGACGCCUGCCCGGUGCCGGAAGGUUAAUUGAUGGGGUUAUCCGUAAGGAGAAGCUCUUGAUCGAAGCCCGGUAAACGGCGGCCGUAACUAUAACGGUCCUAAGGUAGCGAAAUUCCUUGUCGGGUAAGUUCCGACCUGCACGAAUGGCGUAAUGAUGGCGAGGCUGUCUCCACCCGAGACUCAGUGAAAUUGAACUCGCUGUGAAGAUGCAGUGUACCCGCGGCAAGACGGAAAGACCCCGUGAACCUUUACUAUAGCUUGACACUGAACAUUGAGCCUUGAUGUGUAGGAUAGGUGGGAGGCUUUGAAGCGUGGACGCCAGUCUGCGUGGAGCCAACCUUGAAAUACCACCCUUUAAUGUUUGAUGUUCUAACGUUGGCCCCUGACCGGGGUUGCGGACAGUGUCUGGUGGGUAGUUUGACUGGGGCGGUCUCCUCCCAAAGCGUAACGGAGGAGCACGAAGGUUAGCUAAUCCUGGUCGGACAUCAGGAGGUUAGUGCAAUGGCAUAAGCUAGCUUGACUGCGAGCGUGACGGCGCGAGCAGGUGCGAAAGCAGGUCAUAGUGAUCCGGUGGUUCUGAAUGGAAGGGCCAUCGCUCAACGGAUAAAAGGUACUCCGGGGAUAACAGGCUGAUACCGCCCAAGAGUUCAUAUCGACGGCGGUGUUUGGCACCUCGAUGUCGGCUCAUCACAUCCUGGGGCUGAAGUAGGUCCCAAGGGUAUGGCUGUUCGCCAUUUAAAGUGGUACGCGAGCUGGGUUUAGAACGUCGUGAGACAGUUCGGUCCCUAUCUGCCGUGGGCGCUGGAGAAUUGAGGGGGGCUGCUCCUAGUACGAGAGGACCGGAGUGGACGCAUCACUGGUGUUCGGGUUGUCAUGCCAAUGGCACUGCCCGGUAGCUAAAUGCGGAAGAGAUAAGUGCUGAAAGCAUCUAAGCACGAAACUUGCCCCGAGAUGAGUUCUCCCUGAGACUUUAAGUCUCCUGAAGGAACGUUGAAGACGACGACGUUGAUAGGCCGGGUGUGUAAGCGCAGCGAUGCGUUGAGCUAACCGGUACUAAUGAACCGUGAGGCUUAACCUUACAACGCCGAAG
rnacentral:rRNA from 1 species